AUCUAUGGCCAUACCAACCUGAAUGCACGAGACCUCCUCUGAUCUUGGAAGCUAAGCAGGAUUGGGCCUUGUUAGUACUUGAAUGGGAGACCACCUGGGAAUACUCGGUGCUGUAGGAU
ensembl:rRNA 5S_rRNA 5S ribosomal RNA